AGCUGUACGAAGAUGGUUUUCUUCGGACACUCUUCAAGGUGCUGCAUGGUUGUCGUCAGCUCGUGCCGUGAGGUGUCGGGUUAAGUCCCAUAACGAGCGCAACCCUUACCGUUAGUUACCAUCAGGUUAAGCUGGGGACUCUAGCGGGACUGCCACCGUAAGGUGAGAGGAAGUGGGGAUGACGUCAAAUCAGCACGGCCCUUAUGUCCAGGGCUACACACGUGUUACAAUGGCCGGUACAAAGGGCAGCUACUUCGCGAGAAGAUGCUAAUCUCGAAAGCCGGUCUCAGUUCGGAUCGAAGUCUGCAACCCGACUUCGUGAAGCUGGAUUCGCUAGUAAUCGCGCAUCAGCCAUGGCGCGGUGAAUACGUUCCCGGGCCUU
rnacentral:rRNA from 1 species